rnacentral:rRNA from 1 species
UGGGGAAUAUUGGACAAUGGGCGCAAGCCUGAUCCAGCCAUACCGCGUGGGUGAAGAAGGCCUUCGGGUUGUAAAGCCCUUUUGUUGGGAAAGAAAUCCAGCUGGCUAAUACCCGGUUGGGAUGACGGUACCCAAAGAAUAAGCACCGGCUAACUUCGUGCCAGCAGCCGCGGUAAUACGAAGGGUGCAAGCGUUACUCGGAAUUACUGGGCGUAAAGCGUGCGUAGGUGGUCGUUUAAGUCCGUUGUGAAAAGCCCUGGGCUCAACCUGGGAACUGCAGUGGAUACUGGGCGACUAGAGUGUGGUAGAGGGUAGCGGAAUUCCUGGUGUAGCAGUGAAAUGCGUAGAGAUCAGGAGGAACAUCCAUGGCGAAGGCAGCUACCUGGACCAACACUGACACUGAGGCACGAAAGCGUGGGGAGCAAAACAGGAUUAGAUACCCUGGUAGUCCACGCCCUAAACGAUGCGAACUGGAUGUUGGGUGCAAUUUGGCACGCAGUAUCGAAGCU